AGCUUCACUAGCAUAUACCAAUGUUGCUGCGGUUAAAAAGCUCGUAGUUGGAUCUGCGGCCUCAGAUGCUGGUCCCCAAUUCGGUGUGACUGGUAGUCUAGGCCUACCUCGCUGGUUUUCCCUUGGUGCUCUUAAUUGAGUGCCCUGGGUGACCAGCACGUUUACUUUGAAAAAAUUAGAGUGCUCAAAGCAGGCGCGAGGCCUGAAUAGUGGUGCAUGGAAUAAUGGAAUAGGACCUCGGUUCUAUUUUGUUGGUUUUCGGAGCUCGAGGUAAUGAUUAAGAGGGACAGACGGGGGCAUUCGUAUUGCUGCGUUAGAGGUGAAAUUCUUGGAUCGCAGCAAGACGGACAACUGCGAAAGCAUUUGCCAAGAAUGUUUUCAUUAAUCAAGAACGAAAGUA
rnacentral:rRNA from 1 species